GCAUGUGUGUCAGUUGUUAUGCACGAAGCAGUUUAAAGAUUUGUUGAUUUAUUGUUGCAUAAAAAACUAAAUAAUAAGAUUUACAAUAAUGAAUAAACUUCUGUCAAUAACAAAUUUAUCAUAUACAGCGAAACAAUUGUUAGUUUCCGAGGUAAAUAAUUCAAAAUGUAUUCUUGCAGCAAUCUUAAGAAAUCUUCACAUAACCUCUUUCAAUAAUAAAGAGAUAAGAGAUAAAAAUACAAAAGUUAGAGUUGUUUCAAAUAAACAUAAUAUAGCUGAAGGAGAAACAGAUGGAACAGUACAUAAUUUGAAUCAGACAGGACUCUUUCCAGAUGAAAACACACCUAAUUGGAUUUUUAAAGGUAUACCAUAUAAGGAAUUGCCAAUUGUUAAUAUAAAUGCAACUCCUAACAAUACUCAUUUGAAUUUGACGGAUCAUAAAGGGAAGAUGUUAGCACUUCAUACUGCGGGUAUAGAAGGUUUCAAAAAUACUAGAAAAGGUACCAAUGUUGCUGCACAACAAGCAGCUGUUACUUUCAGUGAGGCUAUUCGCAAUAGAUCUGUACCGAUAGUCAGAGUACGUAUUCAAGGAUUAGGUGCUGGUAGAAUGGCUGCUUUGAAAGGUCUUCAAAUAGGAGGAAUAGAAAUUGUAUCGAUUACAGAUAGUACUAGGGUUUCAUGGAAUCCACGAAGACCGAGAAAGCCAAGGAGAAUAUAAUUACAUUCUAUUGAUAGUAAUUGAAAUAUUAUAUAUUUAUAUAUGUGGAUUGAAAUUUCUAAAUGCAACAUGACUUUAAAGUUCGAUGUAAACGAAUUAAGUUUUUCAAAUAAGUUGAGAAAAUAAUGAAACAACACAUUUGCAUCAUGACUAGGAUUUUUGUUUAAACAUCUGCGACAUUCAACUGACGAUUGAUUCGUGUCACGUUCAAAUGUUUACAGAUAGAAAACCAAAUGAUUUUUAUGCAGAAUAUUUUACGCUCGGUGAUAGCAGAAAGUCUUUGCUCGCAGUCUCGGAUGCAAAUGGGUUAAUAAAUGUUUACACGUUUAGGAAAAGAAAACAAUGAAUUUUGAUUUGAUUUGAUUUUAAAAAUAAUUACCCAAAGAAACGGUCUAUUGAUUUAAUAUAAAGUAAUGUGAGAGAUGCUUAUUUUUCAUAAGAGUGUAACAAAAAAAAACAAAAAAAAAACAAAAAAAUUCUUUUUUAUUUGAUAUUUACGAAUAAUCAAUUAUUCGAAUCUCAAGAGAGUCCUACUAUAAACUAGAAACGCGUACAAUCCUGUGGGAAAGUUUGACCUAGAUAGCUUAAAGUGCCCUUGGGAUAUUGUGUACCCUGUAUUCUGCAAUUAAGCGUUCCUGUCCCUUAACUAUAAAGUUUCAACGAAAGUUAUACGCAGCAGUUAAUGUUCAUCUACUACACGCGUUUAUUACCCUGGUUUAUCGACGAUAUUGUCUACGUCCUAUCAACAGAAUUGGCAAGUAGGUAAACUUCAACGGGAUGGUAGUGAACUUUUCUUUUAUGGCUUAUUAACUCCUUUAUUAACGGUUUAUAAAUAUUUAUAUAUAUAUGUCAUUGUUUUAUAUUAUAUAAUGUAUAUUAUAUAUUAAUUUAUAUAUCUCUUUGUAUCUCUUAUCAAACUAUUGACUAGACACCUCCAUGAGGUACUCUAAUAUUCUAAACAUUUUUAACAUUAUAAUUAACGUUAGUUUUAUGACAUAUGAAAAUGCAUAAAUUUGAUAACUUAAACUAAUGACUUUUUGUUUAAUAAAUCGUAUGAAUCGCAAACGCAAAGCAGUAAA